rnacentral:tRNA from 1 species
GGAGGGUAUAGCUCAGUGGUAGAGCGCAUGCCUAGCGUGCAUGAGGUCCUGGGUUCAAUCCCCAGUACCUCCA